rnacentral:rRNA from 1 species
GACGAACGCUGGCGGCGUGCUUAACACAUGCAAGUCGAGCGGUAAGGCCCUUUCGGGGGUACACGAGCGGCGAACGGGUGAGUAACACGUGGGUGACCUGCCCUCAGCUCUGGGAUAAGCCUGGGAAACUGGGUCUAAUACCGGAUAUGACUCCAUGACGCAUGUUGUGGGGUGGAAAGCCUUGUGCGGCUGAGGAUGGGCCCGCGGCCUAUCAGCUUGUUGGUGGGGUGAGGCCUACCAAGGCGACGACGGGUAGCCGGCCUGAGAGGGCGACCGGCCACACUGGGACUGAGACACGGCCCAGACUCCUACGGGAGGCAGCAGUGGGGAAUCUUGCGCAAUGGGCGAAAGCCUGACGCAGCGACGCCGCGUGAGGGAUGACGG